UACAGAGGUCUCAAGCGUUGUUCGGAUUCAUUGGGCGUAAAGGGUGCGUAGGUGGCGCUGUAAGUCAGGUGUGAAAUUUCGGAGCUUAACUCCGAAACUGCAUUUGAUACUGCGGUGCUCGAGGACUGGAGAGGAGACUGGAAUUUACGGUGUAGCAGUGAAAUGCGUAGAGAUUGUAAGGAAGACCAGUGGCGAAGGCGGGUCUCUGGACAGUUCCUGACACUGAGGCACGAAGGCCAGGGGAGCAAACAGG
rnacentral:rRNA from 1 species